rnacentral:lncRNA from 10 species
CAGGAAAUGAGGUAGAAAGUUGGGAAGAAUCCAAAGUAUGUAGGGACUCGCAGACCCUCCUAGGAACUUCACAUUUAUUCCAAGUGCGCUAAGAAGCUAUUGGAGGACUUUAAACAGGUGAUGCGGACUGCACUGGCUCAGAAAGGGUAACCCACAUUCAUUCAUCCCUGUCUGCAUUUGGCAACUAUUUAUGGGAUACCAUGCACCAGGGGCUGGCUACACAGGAGGGACACAGCCUCGAUAGACAGUUCUUUUUGGAAGAUUAGAGUUUAGUGUGGUCAACUAUAAAUAAUCAUACAAACAGAGAUGCAAUUACCAAGAGUGCCACGCGAGAGAAAAAAAGGGGGGUUGGGUCUAAUCUGGGGGAGUUAGGAAGCUUCUUGGAGGAAGCAGCAUUAAACUGGCAGCUAAAGAAUGCGAAGGCAUGAACCAGGUAGAGAGGGAGGAAGCGUGUUCCUGGCAGAAGGAACAGCAUGUGCGAAGUUCUUGAAGCAGGCAGAAGAAAGAUGCUUUCAAGAAACUGACAAGCAGCCUGAGCAUGACUACACACAUUGAUUCAGCUGGAGUCUCAAUCACAAUAGGACACAGGUGAGCCUGAGAUGACGCUAAUAUCAUUCUCCUGGAAUAUGGCUUCCCAACACAAGCACCAUCACCUUCAUCAUCAUCAUCAUCAUCAUCAUCAUCAUCAUCAUCACAGCGAUGACUUGCCCAAGAUCACACAGUUGUUAAGCUGCUGAGCAGGGAUUUGAAUCUGACUCGAACCUAACUACUCACCUGUGGUUAUAUACUCGUAAUUAUAUAUACAUUAAAGUCUCAUUGUGAAUUCUAAGCUGUGUCUAACAUAACACCAAUUGUACAAUAGGUGCUCAAUAAUGUGGCUGCCCUUUCCCACUUUAGGGAAACUCAAUAUGUAAAACUCUAAAGUGGGCAAGGAAAUUAACUAAGGGUCAUUGCCUGCAAUGUACAAGAAAAAAAAAAAAACAACGAGGAGGAAAAAAAAAAGAACGAGGAAACUCCCAACGAUGCACAAAUGCCGUUUGUUCAGAGAUCAUGAACUCACCAAGAGUCUUCAGAAACUAGAGAAAAUUCAACCUAAGGUGUUCAGUGCCAUCUCCUGUUGAAGAUAAAUUCAAUGUAAAAGCAGAUCUCGGCUCUGAAAAUAUCCCUGGGAACACUAGCAUUAAUGUACAUUAUUGCAUAACCAGGUUGUAAAAAUUUCAUUUUCCCUCAACUUCUGGGGAAGGGUGUACCUACUACUACUUAAUGUUAGCAGACUUUUUUCUUUGUUUCUAUUUCUACUAUAACAAUAUUAUUAAAACAUAAAAUUAGGAAAAGAAUCAUUGAGGCCAAGGCUACUCGCUCUGCACGGCAUCUGAUAUUAUUCCAUCCUUGACAUCAUUGCCUUUUCUACUUUUGGGUUUUUAUUUUAUUUUUACCUCUCCUGCUCUGUUUGGGGAUGUGAAUUCCCCCAAAAGCUCAGGAGCCAGGCACUCCUGGCUACAGAAGCCAAAUAGAUUUUAACCCAGCCUGAACUUUUGAGGUAAGCCACCAAAACACCCUUCUCCUAGGCAAAAUGCUUUUUUCUUUCCUGUAAGUCUACUGCAGAAAUUACAUUUUAAAAUAUUGAAAAGAGAAACAUAUUUUCCCACAAUCCCACCACUCUAACCCGGUAACUACCUUUCUUUUCUUUUUUUGUGUGUGUUGGUCGCAAGUCUCAUAUCUAUAAGUGCACGUAAGAGAACUGUAACUCUAGCAAACAUAGCAUUUCCAUUCGUUUUUCUCUUAAUGUUCUAUUAUUAUGCAGAUUUUUCCUAGGUCACUACAGUCUUCAUAUUCAUCAUUGUUUGAAAGAUGCCAAACGUUCCAUUGAGCAAGUGUUUCCAUUUUCCAUAAUGUUUCAAU